rnacentral:rRNA from 1 species
AACGAACGCUGGCGGCAUGCCUAACACAUGCAAGUCGAACGAGACCUUCGGGUCUAGUGGCGCACGGGUGCGUAACGCGUUGGAACCUGCCCUUAGGUUCGGAAUAACUCCCCGUAAGGUGUGCUAAUACCGGUUAAUGUCUUCGUACCAAAUAUUUAUCGGCUUUGGAUGGUCCCGCGUUGGAUUAGCUAGUUGGUAGGGUAAAAGCCUACCAAGGCGGCGAUCGAUAUCUGGUCUGAGAGGAUGAUCAGCCACACUGGGACUGAGACACGGCACAGACUAGUACGGGAGGAAGGAGAGGGGAAUAUUGGAAAAUGGGAGAAAGCAUGAACAAGCAAUGACGCGUGAGUGAUGAAGGCGUGAGGGUUGUAAAGCUCUUGUACCCGGGAUGAUAAUGACAGUAACGGGAGAAUAAGCUACGGCUAACUACGUG